CCUACGGGUGGCAGCAGUGGGGAAUAUUGCACAAUGGGGGAAACCCUGAUGCAGCAACGCCGCGUGAGUGAAGAAGGAUUUCGGUAUGUAAAGCUCUGUCAGCAGGGAAGAAAAUGACGGUACCUGAACAACAAGCCCCGGCUAACUACGUGCCAGCAGCCGCGGGCAUACGUAGGGGGCGAGCGUUCUCCGGAUUUACUGGGUGGAAAGGGAGCGUAGACGGCAGGGCAAGUCUGGAGUGAAAGGCGGGGGGUCAACCCCCGGACUGCUCUGGAAACUGCCAGGCUGGAGUGCAGGAGAGGGAAGUGGAAUUCCGAGUGUAGCGGUGAAAUGCGUAGAUAUGAGGAGGAACACCAGUGGCGAAGGCGGCUUACUGGACUGUAACUGACGUUGAGGCUCGAAAGCGUGGGGAGCAAACAGGAUUAGAUACCCGGGUAGUC
rnacentral:rRNA from 1 species